rnacentral:rRNA from 1 species
GACGAACGCUGGCGGCGUGCUUAACACAUGCAAGUCGAACGGAAAGGCCCUGCUUUUGUGGGGUGCUCGAGUGGCGAACGGGUGAGUAACACGUGAGUAACCUGCCCUUGACUUUGGGAUAACUUCAGGAAACUGGGGCUAAUACCGGAUAGGAGCUCCUGCUGCAUGGUGGGGGUUGGAAAGUUUCGGCGGUUGGGGAUGGACUCGCGGCUUAUCAGCUUGUUGGUGGGGUAGUGGCUUACCAAGGCUUUGACGGGUAGCCGGCCUGAGAGGGUUACCGGCCACAUUGGGACUGAGAUACGGCCCAGACUCCUACGGGAGGCAGCAGUGGGGAAUAUUGCACAAUGGGCGGAAGCGUGAUGCAGCAACGCCGCGUGCGGGAUGACGGCCUUCGGGUUGUAAACCGCUUUCGCCUGUGACGAAGCGUGAGUGACGGUAAUGGGUAAAGAAGCACCGGCUAACUACGUG